rnacentral:rRNA from 1 species
UGUAGCUGGCCUCUCCGGAGGCAUGUGCACGCCCUGCUCAUCCACUCUACACCUGUGCACUUACUGUGGGUAUCGGAAGGCGUCGCGUCGUUNNNNGCGAGGCGUUAACCGUGCCUACGUCUUACUACAAACGCUUCAGUAUCAGAAUGUGUAUUGCGAUGUAACGCAUCUAUAUACAACUUUCAGCAACGGAUCUCUUGGCUCUCGCAUCGAUGAAGAACGCAGCGAAAUGCGAUAAGUAAUGUGAAUUGCAGAAUUCAGUGAAUCAUCGAAUCUUUGAACGCACCUUGCGCUCCUUGGUAUUCCGAGGAGCAUGCCUGUUUGAGUGUCAUGAAAUUCUCAAACCCAUAAGUCUUUGCGGGCUUACGGGCUUUGGACUUGGAGGCUUUGUCGGCGACCGCGAGGUCUGUCGACUCCUCUCAAAUGCAUUAGCUUGAUUCCUUGCGGAUCGGCUCUCGGUGUGAUAAUUGUCUACGCCGUGACCGUGAAGCGUUUUGGCGAGCUUCUAAUCGUCUCUUACGAGACAGCUUACAUUGACCUCUGACCUCAAAUCAGGUAGGACUACCCGCUGAACUUAAGCAUAUCAAUAG